GGGGUGUUGGCGCAAUUGGUAGCGCGUCCGUCUCCAAUUCGGGAUAGCGGAAGGUUAAGUGUUCGAGUCACUUACGUCCCA
rfam:Zancudomyces culisetae strain COL-18-3 scaffold-51, whole genome shotgun sequence.